CCUACGGGUGGCUGCAGUGGGGAAUAUUGGACAAUGGGGGGAACCCUGAUCCAGCCAUGCCGCGUGUGUGAAGAAGGCCCUCGGGUUGUAAAGCACUCUCAGUGAGGAAGAACGCCUGGUGGUUAAUACCCAUCAGGAAAGACAUCACUCACAGAAGAAGCACCGGCUAACUCCGUGCCAGCAGCCGCGGUAAUACGGAGGGUGCGAGCGUUAAUCGGAAUUACUGGGCGUAAAGCGCGCGUAGGUGGCUUGAUAAGCCGGUUGUGAAAGCCCCGGGCUCAACCUGGGAACGGCAUCCGGAACUGUCAAGCUAGAGUGCAGGAGAGGAAAGUAGAAUUCCCUGUGUAGCGGUGGAAUGCGUAGAGAUCGGGAGGAAUACCAGUGGCGAAGGCGGCCUUCUGGACUGACACUGACACUGAGGUGCGAAAGCGUGGGUAGCAAACAGGAUUAGAUACCCCUGUAGUC
rnacentral:rRNA from 1 species